rnacentral:lncRNA from 1 species
UUUGAGGAAAAUUAGUUUUAAAGCACUUGAACAUCUUUGAGACAAUUUAUCAAACACCAAAAGUGCACAACUUAAUGUGAGGAAUAUAAUGUAGAGAGUGUGUUAUCCAAAGUGAGUUGGUAUCAAAUCUGAAAAUCACGCUGAUUCGCCCUUUGGGGACUCCAUGAAUUACUACUUAUCCAAAAAAAAAAUUGCAAACAAAUAGACCAUAAAAGGCAGGAUAUUCUUGAGCAAAUUAAUUCCCAUAAACGGAAAACCCAAGAGAAAAAUCCAUAUAAAAUAAUCCAUAACAAAAUUACACCCAAAACAAGAAUCUAAAUCUAUUACACCCAGAUUUUCACAAUCAAAUUUGGUAUUCUAAAUCUAGGGCGACAAAAAUCUGAGAGAGUAAUACUUUAAAGGCUGCUAGAAGAGAGAAGGAAGGGAGUCGCUGCUAGAAGAGGGAAGGAACGGAGUCGCGGCAGUGGCAGUACGUGGCGGCAGAGGCGGAUUGUGGAGCUGCUCAAGGUGUGUUUGAUAAACAGAGAAGGAGAAAGUGUCCGGUGAAGAGAAAAAAAGAAACAUGAUAUGCCCUAGAAUUUUUAUUUUUUUUUAUCAUCAACAGCUGACGCGGACAAAAUCACGUCAACCGGUCGCUAAAAUGUCCCAAAAUUCCGGUCGCACCAGACUUAUUGUAAACUUUAUACCAAUUAUAUUCUUCUUUUUAUUAUAACUAGUACUUCCAUUGGUAGUUUUGUCAAAC